GUGCGUAACGCGUAUACAAUCUGCCUUUCACUGGGGGAUAGCCCGAAGAAAUUUGGAUUAAUACCCCAUAGAAUAGUAGUGUGGCAUCACACAACUAUUAAAGCUCUGGUGGUGAAAGAUGAGUAUGCGUUCUAUUAGCUAGUUGGAGAGGUAACGGCUCCCCAAGGCGAUGAUAGAUAGGGGUUCUGAGAGGGAUGUCCCCCACACUGGUACUGAGAUACGGACCAGACUCCUACGGGAGGCAGCAGUGAGGAAUAUUGGACAAUGGUCGGAAGACUGAUCCAGCCAUGCCGCGUGCAGGAUGAAGGUCUUAUGGAUUGUAAACUGCU
rnacentral:rRNA from 1 species